rnacentral:snoRNA from 2 species
UCAUUUGGAGAUAAAUCCAUAGCUUAGAUAUUGAGUUCAUCACUUAGGGCAUUAGGACAUUGGAAUACCAACGUAGAAAAGAC